rnacentral:rRNA from 1 species
AUCGCAAGACCUCGCGCGUCUGGAGCGGCUGAUGGCAGAUUAGGUAGUUGGUGGGAUAAAAGCCUACCAAGCCAACGAUCUGUAGCUGGUCUGAGAGGAUGAUCAGCCACACUGGGACUGAGACACGGCCCAGACUCCUACGGGAGGCAGCAGUGGGGAAUUUUGGACAAUGGGCGAAAGCCUGAUCCAGCCAUUCCGCGUGCAGGAUGAAGGCCCUCGGGUUGUAAACUGCUUUUGUACAGAACGAAAAAGCUCUGGCUAAUACCUGGAGUCCAUGACGGUACUGUAAGAAUAAGCACCGGCUAACUACGUGCCAGCAGCCGCGGUAAUACGUAGGGUGCAAGCGUUAAUCGGAAUUACUGGGCGUAAAGCGUGCGCAGGCGGUUUUGUAAGACAGAGGUGAAAUCCCCGGGCUCAACCUGGGAACUGCCUUGUGACUGCAAGGCUGGAGUGCGGCAGAGGGGGAUGGGAAUUCCGCGUGUAGCAGUGAAAUGCGUAGAU